rnacentral:rRNA from 1 species
ACGGGAUGCUUCGGCAUCUAGUGGCGGACGGGUGAGUAACGCGUGAGAAUCUGGCUUUAGGUUCGGGACAACAGUGGGAAACUGCUGCUAAUACCGAAUGUGCAGAAAUGUGAAAGAUUAAUUGCCUGAAGAUGAGCUCGCGUCUGAUUAGCUAGUUGGUGAGGUAAAGGCUCACCAAGGCGACGAUCAGUAACUGGUCUGAGAGGAUGACCAGUCACACUGGGACUGAGACACGGCCCAGACUCCUACGGGAGGCAGCAGUGGGGAAUUUUCCGCAAUGGGCGAAAGCCUGACGGAGCAAUACCGCGUGAGGGAGGAAGGCUCUUGGGUUGUAAACCUCUUUUCUCAGGGAAGAAAAAAAUGACGGUACCUGAGGAAUAAGCAUCGGCUAACUCCGUGCCAGCAGCCGCGGUAAUACGGAGGAUGCAAGCGUUAUCCGGAAUUAUUGGGCGUAAAGCGUCCGCAGGUGGCAAUUCAAGUCUGCUGUCAAAGGUCAGGGCUUAACUCUGAACAGGCAGUGGAAACUGAAUAGCUAGAGUGCGGUAGGGGCAGAGGGAAUUCCCAGUGUAGCGGUGAAAUGCGUAGAGAUUGGGAAGAACACCGGUGGCGAAAGCGCUCUGCUAGGCCGUAACUGACACUCAUGGACGAAAGCUAGGGGAGCGAAUGGGAUUAGAUACCCCAGUAGUCCUAGCCGUA